AGGGAUGUUCUGAAAGUGACCUGAUUAAGGGCAGCCUCUUAAGAAAAGCUUUAUAAUACUAAGGGUGUGACUCUCUAAGGCUGGAACACUCAAGAACACAAAAGCUGGAUAAGGGGCAGAGCAUCUAGGACAGGUCCGACAGGCCAGGAGAUGGAGCUGUAAGCCUCAGUGUUGGGGAGUGAUCAAGAAUGUUGCUGCCAAUAAGAAUAUGUAAGGUCUGAAUGUGCUGACGACUCAUAUUUAGUGACUGGUGCUGUACAUGCUUCUACCUCAUGCUGAAGUGGAAACCUGUGCUAACAGAAGACAUGAUGUUCUACUGCCAGAUGCUUGAUCAUCUGACUAUUGAAACAAUGGACCCCAAGGAAUUAAGAUUACUCAAGCAAUCUUCUUCUGGAGGGGAAGGAGAGGCUGAGGCCCUAUUGCCAGGCUAAAGAGGAACUUGGAGCCCAGGAAGAAAUUGCAUACAGUUCUGAGGACUUACUGAACUGCUUUGCAAGAGAGACUAGAGCAGAGACAACUGGUUACUUUUGAAUUAUGUCUACUUCUUUCCCUUUAUUGACACCAUAGUAGGAGGUCACUGAAUUUCACUUCUAUGUAUGGCCAUACUAAAUAGAUCUUUCAUUUCUCCAUUUUACUAUUAUUCAUCUCUAUAAUUGACAUAUUGGAACAGGUUGCUUGCUGGGAUAGUGAGAGCUCAAGCUUUGAUUCCGAAAACUUAGAAACACUCUGAGUUCCUUUUAUUCACUUUAGCUCGAUUAAGGCCUAUAAAAAUACAUUAGAGUAUUGAAUAAGAAUGGAAUAAUUUCUCUGACUCAUUCCCACCCAGAUGAAGGUGGUAUUAGUGAUAUUUGCUUAAUCAAUUGUAAAGAUUGGGCAUGGGGGCUCGGAACAGAGUAUCUUAGCAAAAGUUCAUUGGCUUACAAAGACACUGUACUGGCUGGUUUUGUGUGUCAACUUGAUCCAAGCUUGUAACCCCCCAGCCUGAAGCAGGCUGAGCCAGACCUUGACCUUGCUGCCGCUAAGGAGAUUACCUAGGGUGGAGCCUUCAUCCCUAGAUCACUCUAUUGUUCAGACACUGCCACUGUUCUCCUUCAAAACACUGCUACCUGCUGGGAGGCUGCGGAGCUAUUCUGGAGACUACACCCUAUCCUGCACAUCAUCACCUGCAGCUGGUUCCAGGCUCCAAGAAUGGAUUAGUGGAGGAUGGGCCCUGCCUUUAUAAGGGCAUUUGCCAUUAAACAUUUGAACUUUGAUCAGGAA